UGGGGAAUUUGGACAAUGGGCGAAAGCCUGAUCCAGCAAUGCCGCGUGUGUGAAGAAGGCCUUCGGGUUGUAAAGCACUUUUGUCCGGAAAGAAAUCCUUGGCUCUAAUACAGUCGGGGGAUGACGGUACCGGAAGAAUAAGCACCGGCUAACUACGUGCCAGCAGCCGCGGUAAUACGUAGGGUGCAAGCGUUAAUCGGAAUUACUGGGCGUAAAGCGUGCGCAGGCGGUUUGCUAAGACCGAUGUGAAAUCCCCGGGCUCAACCUGGGAACUGCAUUGGUGACUGGCAGGCUAGAGUAUGGCAGGAGGGGGGUAGAAUUCCACGUGUAGCAGUGAAAUGCGUAGAGAUGUGGAGGAAUACCGAUGGCGAAGGCAGCCCCCUGGGCCAAUACUGACGCUCAUGCACGAAAGCGUGGGGGAGCAAACAGGAUUAGAUACCCUGGUAGUCCACGCCCUAAACGAUGUCAACUAGUUGUUGGGGAUUCAUUCCUUAGUAACGUAGCUAACGCGUGAAGUUGACCGCCU
rnacentral:rRNA from 1 species